rnacentral:lncRNA from 10 species
UUUGGAGAUAUUGAAUCAUGUUACCAUUUCUGUUUUUUUCCACCCUGUUUUCUUCCAUAUUUACUGAAGCUCAGAAGCAGUAUUGGGUCUGCAACUCAUCCGAUGCAAGUAUUUCAUACACCUACUGUGUCUGGAGUGUAUGUUAACUCUCUUGAGAAACAUGCUCUGCCAAAUGCUAAUAUAAAGUGACUUUCGGGAAAUUGGGAUAAUUGCCACAUGUGAGGAGGAGACUUAGGAGUGUGGCCAGUCACACACCAUGGCCCUUCUCCUGAUAAAAUGCAAUACCCAAUUUCAAUUAAUGUUAACCCCUGUAUAGAAUUGAAAAGAUCCAAAGGAUUAUUGCACAUUUUCUACAUUCCAAGGAGAGAUUUAAAGCAAUUAUAUUUCAAUCUCUAUAUAACUGUCAACACCAUGAAUCUUCCAAAGCGCAAAGAAGUUAUUUGCCGAGGAUCUGAUGACGAUUACUCUUUUUGCAGAGCUCUGAAGGGAGAGACUGUGAAUACAACAAUAUCAUUCUCCUUCAAGGGAAUAAAAUUUUCUAAGGGAAAAUACAAAUGUGUUGUUGAAGCUAUUUCUGGGAGCCCAGAAGAAAUGCUCUUUUGCUUGGAGUUUGUCAUCCUACACCAACCUAAUUCAAAUUAGAAUAAAUUGAGUAUUUAAAA